CGGGGCUGAGGCGCUGCCUAUGGCGGCCGCGCUCCCCGUGGGGGAGCGCGGCCGCCAUUUUGUGUGCGCGGAGGCCGGCGCCGGGCCUCGGUGCCCGCUGCGGCGGGGCCGGUGGACCAAAGGCUGCCUGCUUUUUGGAAGGCUGUCGGGCACUGGCCUCACCGGUGAGCACUGUAAAAACUCUCCCCUGUACAGGGUUAACCCUGUUACGCGGCUUCUCCUUUA